CAGUCGCCGCGGUAAUACAGAGGGUGCAAGCGUUAAUCGGAAUUACUGGGCGUAAAGCGCGCGUAGGUGGUUUGUUAAGUUGGAUGUGAAAUCCCCGGGCUCAACCUGGGAACUGCAUCCAAAACUGGCAAGCUAGAGUAUGGUAGAGGGUGGUGGAAUUUCCUGUGUAGCGGUGAAAUGCGUAGAUAUAGGAAGGAACACCAGUGGCGAAGGCGACCACCUGGACUGAUACUGACACUGAGGUGCGAAAGCGUGGGGAGCAAACAGGAUUAGAUACCCCUGUAGUCCCUGUCUCUCAUAC
rnacentral:rRNA from 1 species